rnacentral:rRNA from 1 species
AGUCACUGACAUUAGACUACCCCUGUAGUCCAGGGUAGUAAACGCUGCAGACUUGGUGUUGGAGCCCGUUUGGGGGCAUUCAGUGCCGGAGAGAAGUUGUUAAGUCUGCUACGUUGGGGAGUACGUCCGCAAGGAUAGAAAACUUAAAGGAAUUGGCGGGGGAGCACCGCAACGGGAGGAGCGUGCGGUUUAAUUGGAUUCAACACCGUAAAACUCACCAGGGAAGACUGUUACAUGAAGGCCGAGAUGAAGACUCUGCUAGAUUUUCAG